UUGAGCGGGCGGCUGCUUUAACAUGCAAUAGAACGGAACACGGGCUUCGGCCUGGUGUCGAGUGGCGAACGGGUGAGUAAUACAUCGGAACGUACCCAGAAGUGGGGGAUAACGUAGCGAAAGUUACGCUAAUACCGCAUACGUUCUACGGAAGAAAGUGGGGGAUCGCAAGACCUCAUGCUUUUGGAGCGGCCGAUGUCUGAUUAGCUAGUUGGUGGGGUAAAGGCUCACCAAGGCGACGAUCAGUAGCUGGUCUGAGAGGACGACCAGCCACACUGGAACUGAGACACGGUCCAGACUCCUACGGGAGGCAGCAGUGGGGAAUUUUGGACAAUGGGCGCAAGCCUGAUCCAGCAAUGCCGCGUGAGUGAAGAAGGCCUUCGGGUUGUAAAGCUCUUUUGUCAGGGAAGAAACGGGAGGCUAAUAUCCUUUGCUAAUGACGGUACCUGAAGAAUAAGCACCGGCUAACUACGUGCCAGCGCCGCGGGAAUACGUAGGGUGCAAGCGUUUAUCGGAAUUACUGGGCGUAAAGCGUGCGCAGGCGGUUUUGUAAGUCCUGACGAAAAUCCCCGGGCUCACCUGGGAAAUUGCGUUGGAAACUGCAGGGUUGAAUCUGGAAAGGGGGGUAGAAUCCC
rnacentral:rRNA from 1 species